CUACGGGUCGCUGCAGUAAGGAAUAUUGCGCAAUGGAGGCAACUCUGACGCAGCCAUGCCGCGUGCAGGAAGAAGGCCUUAUGGGUCGUAAACUGCUUUUAUUUAGGAAUAAACCCCCGAACGUGUUCGGGGCUGAAGGUACUAAACGAAAUAGCACCGGCUAACUCCGUGCCAGCAGCCGCGGUAAUACGGAGGGUGCAAGCGUUAUCCGGAUUUAUUGGGUUUAAAGGGUGCGCAGGCGGGCUAUUAAGUCAGUGGUGAAAUCCCGGGGCUCAAAUCCGGAACUGCCAUUGAUACUGAUAGUCUUGAGUUUGGUUGAAGUGGGCGGAAUGUAGCAUGUAGCGGUGAAAUGCAUAGAUAUGCUACAGAACACCAAUCGCGAAGGCAGCUCACUAAGCCAAAACUGACGCUCAUGCACGAAAGCGUGGGGAUCAAACAGGAUUAGAUACCCUUGUAGUC
rnacentral:rRNA from 1 species